GGGCUACACACACGCUACAAUGGUCUGUACAAUGGGUAGCCAAGCCGCGAGGCGGAGCCAAUCCUGAAAGCAAGGCCUCAGUUCAGAUUGCAGUCUGCAACUCGACUGCAUGAAGCCGGAGUUGCUAGUAACCGCAGGUCAGCAAUACUGCGGUGAAUACGUUCCCGGGUCCUU
rnacentral:rRNA from 1 species